AGAGUUUGAUCCUGGCUCAGAGCGAACGCUGGCGGCAGGCCUAACACAUGCAAGUCGAACGGAUCCUUCGGGAUUAGUGGCGGACGGGUGAGUAACACGUGGGAACGUGCCCUUUGGUUCGGAACAACUCAGGGAAACUUGAGCUAAUACCGGAUAAGCCUUUGGAGGGAAAGAUUUAUCGCCAUUGGAGCGGCCCGCGUAGGAUUAGCUAGUUGGUGGGGUAAAGGCCCACCAAGGCUACGAUCCUUAGCUGGUCUGAGAGGAUGAUCAGCCACAUUGGGACUGAGACACGGCCCAAACUCCUACGGGAGGCAGCAGUGGGGAAUCUUGCGCAAUGGGCGAAAGCCUGACGCAGCCAUGCCGCGUGAAUGAUGAAGGUCUUAGGAUUGUAAAAUUCUUUCACCGGGGACGAUAAUGACGGUACCCGGAGAAGAAGCCCCGGCUAACUUCGUGCCAGCAGCCGCGGUAAUACGAAGGGGGCUAGCGUUGCUCGGAAUUACUGGGCGUAAAGGGAGCGUAGGCGGAUAGUUUAGUCAGAGGUGAAAGCCCAGGGCUCAACCUUGGAAUUGCCUUUGAUACUGGCUAUCUUGAGUACGGAAGAGGUAUGUGGAACUCCGAGUGUAGAGGUGAAAUUCGUAGAUAUUCGGAAGAACACCAGUGGCGAAGGCGACAUACUGGUCCGUUACUGACGCUGAGGCUCGAAAGCGUGGGGAGCAAACAGGAUUAGAUACCCUGGUAGUCCACGCUGUAAACGAUGAGUGCUAGUUGUCGGCAGGCAUGCCUGUCGGUGACGCAGCUAACGCAUUAAGCACUCCGCCUGGGGAGUACGGUCGCAAGAUUAAAACUCAAAGGAAUUGACGGGGGCCCGCACAAGCGGUGGAGCAUGUGGUUUAAUUCGAAGCAACGCGCAGAACCUUACCACCUUUUGACAUGCCUGGACCGCCUCAGAGAUGAGGCUUUCCCUUCGGGGACUGGGACACAGGUGCUGCUUGGCUGUCGUCAGCUCGUGUCGUGAGAUGUUGGGUUAAGUCCCGCAACGAGCGCAACCCUUGUCUCAUGUUGCCAGCACGUCAUGGUGGGGACUCGUGAGAGACUGCCGGGGUCAACUCGGAGGAAGGUGGGGAUGACGUCAAGUCAUCAUGCCCCUUAUGUCCAGGGCUUCACACAUGCUACAAUGGCCGGUACAAAGGGCUGCGAUGCCGUGAGGUGGAGCGAAUCCUUUCAAAGCCGGUCUCAGUUCGGAUCGGGGUCUGCAACUCGACCCCGUGAAGUCGGAGUCGCUAGUAAUCGCAGAUCAGCAACGCUGCGGUGAAUACGUUCCCGGGCCUUGUACACACCGCCCGUCACGUCAUGAAAGUCGGUAACACCCGAAGCCGGUGGCCUAACCCCUCGUGGGAGGGAGCCGUCGAAGGUGGGAUCGGCGAUUGGGACGAAGU
rnacentral:rRNA from 1 species